rnacentral:lncRNA from 1 species
UUGGAGAAACUGACACCCGCCAGCCACCUGUGUGCAAAGCAUGGCGGUAGAACCAGUCUCGCGUAAGCGUAUGCGUAAUGUCGGUCCGGGCCGCUUCAUCCAACAAUACCGCCGAACCAAAGUAUGACAUGCUGGUAGGCAGUAUGACUUAUAUCGCCCACAACUCACUUGUGUUCUACUCGUGCAUAUAACAUCAAACCAUAAAACCUAGGCUCUGAUACCACUAUUGGGGAACGUAGUAAUUUCAAAAAAUUUCCUACGCACACGCAAGAUCAUGGUGAUGCAUAGCAACGAGAGGGGAGAGUGUUGUCUACGUACCCUCGUAGACUGAAGCGGAAGCGUUGACGCAACGUAGAGGAAGUAGUCGUACGUCUUCCCGGUCCAACCGAUCCAAGCACCGUUACUCCGGCACCUCCGAGUUUUUCACACACGUACAGCUGGAUGACGCACCCCGGGCUCCGGUCCAACAAAGCUUCGGGGAGGAGUUUCGUCAGCACGACGGCGUGGUGACGAUCUUGAUGUUUAACCGUCGCAGGGCUUUGCCUAAGCACCGCUACAAUAUGAUCGAGGUGUAAUAUUGUGGAGGGGGCACCGCACACGGCUAAGGAACGGUCACGAAGAUCAACUUGUGUCUCCUAGGGUGCCCCCUGCCCCCGUAUAUAAAGGAGCCAAGGGCAGGGGUGGCCGGCCAAGGAGAGGCGCGCCAUGGGGGAGUCCUACUCCCACCGGGAGUAGGACUCCCUUCUUUCCUAGUUGGAGAAGGGGAAGGGGGGAAAGAGGAGGAAGAGCGGAAGGAAAGGGUCCUAUUCGGACUAGGAAGGGGAGGGCCGUGCGGCCACCUCCUGCCUCCUUCUCUCUUCUCCCUCAAGGCCCAUGUAGGCCCAAUAACCCCCCCGGGGGGGGGGGGGGGUUCCGGUAACCCCCGAUACUCCGGUAAAGUGCCGAUUUCACCCGAAACGAUUCUGAUGUCCAAAUAUAGGCUUACAAUAUAUCAAUCUUUAUGUCUCGACCAUUUCGAGACUCCUCGUCAUGUCCGUGAUCACAUCCGGGACUCCGAACAACCUUCGGUACAUCAAAAUACAUAAACUCAUAAUGAAACUGUCAUCGUAACUUUAAGCGUGCGGACCCUACGGUUCGAGAACAAUGUAGACAUGACUGAGACACGUCUCCGGUCAAUAACCAAUAGCGGGACCUGGAUGCCCAUAUUGGCUCCUACAUAUUCUACGAAGAUCUUUAUCGGUCAGACCGCAUAACUACAUACGUUGUUCCCUUUGUCAUCGGUAUGUUACUUGCCCGAGAUUCGAUCGUCGGUAUCCAAUACCUAGUUCAAUCUCGUUACCGGCAAGUCUCUUUACUCGUUCCGUAAUACAUCAUCUCGCAACUAACUCAUUAGUUGCAAUGCUUAAGUGAUGUGCAUUACCGAGAGGGCCCAGAGAUACCUCUCCGACGAUCGGAGUGACAAAUCCUAAUCUCGAAAUACAUCAACCCAACAUGUACCUUUGGAGACACCUGUAGAGCACCUUUAUAAUCACCCAGUUAUGUUGUGACGUUUGGUAGCACACAAAGUGUUCCUCCGGCACACGGGAGUUACAUAAUCUCAUAGCCAUAGGAACAUGUAUAAGUCAUGAAGAAAGCAAUAGCAACAUACUAAACGAUCGGGUGCUAAGCUAAUGGAAUGGGUCAUGUCAAUCAGAUCAUUCAACUAAUGAUGUGAUCCCGUUAAUCAAAUGACAACUCUUUGUCCAUGGUUAGGAAACAUAACCAUCUUUGAUUAACGAGCUAGUCAUGUAGAAGCAUACUAGUGACUCUCUGUUUGUCUAUAUAUUCACACAUGUAUUAUGUUUCCGGUUAAUACAAUUCUAGCAUGAAUAAUAAACCUUUAUCAUGAUAUAAGGAAAUAAAUAAUAACUUUAUUAUUGCCUCUAGUGCAUAUUUCCUUCAGGACGAUGUGUAUAUGGAUCUUAUGGUGGUUAAUUGAUUUCCCGAGAUCAUCCAUUGAGCAACCACCCAAAACAUUACUAGCCCUAUGAAUAUACAACUAAGGGCACCGAUCUUCGAUCUUUUAUCCUUUUUGAGUGGCUUGCCACCGUCUUGUGCUAAUCCUUGUAUUAUCUUUGAUAUAGCACGAAAUUCUUAGCUCACGGUUAGAAGAUGCUUAUUGAGGGAGUCCUGGAUUAGGGGGUGUCCGGGUAGCCGGACUAUACCUUCAGCCGGACUCCUGGACUAUGAAAAUACAAGAUUGAAGACUUCGUCCCAUGUCCGGAUGGGACUUUCCUUGGCGUGGAAGGCAAGCUAGGCGAUGCGGAUAUUCAGAUCUCCUACCAUUGUAACCGACUUUGUGUAACCCUAACCCUCUCCGGUGUCUAUAUAAACCGGAGGGUUUUAGUCCGUAGGACAACCUCAACAUACAACAAUCAUACCAUACGCUAGCUUCUAGGGUUUAGCCUCCUUGAUCUCAUGGUAGAUCCACUCUUGUACUACCCAUAUCAUCAAUAUUAAUCAAGUAGGACGUAGGGUUUUACCUCCAUCAAGAGGGCCCGAACCUAGGUAAAACUUCGUGUCCCUUGUCUCCUGUUACCAUCCGGCCUAGACGCACAAUUCGGGACCCCCUACCCGAGAUCCGCCUGUUUUGACACCGACAUUAGUGCUUUCAUUGAGAGUUCCUUUGUGUCAUCGCUUUUAGGCCAGAUGGCUCCUUUGAUCAUCAACAACGAUGCGGUCCAGGGUGAGACUUUUCUCCCCGGACAGAUCUUCGUCUUCGGUGGCUUCGCAUUGCGGGCCAAUUUGCUUGGCCACCUGGAGCAGAUCGAAAGCUAGGCUCCUGGCCAUCAGGUCAGAUUUGGAAGUUUAAACUACACGGCCGACAUCCGCGGGGACUUGAUCUUCGAUGGAUUCGAGCCACAGCCAAGCGCGCCGCACUGUCUCGAUGGGCAUGAUCUAGCUCUGCCGCCGAACAGUGUCCUGGAGGCAGCACACACACUGGUUCCGACCCCUAAUUCGGAGCCUGCUGCGCCGAUCGAGGAUGAGUGGUUGGACACCACCUCGGGGGCUGCGAUCUCAAAGGCGAUCGAGCCGAACACCAGCCCCGCACUCUGCAUGGCCCGUGACUCCGAGGAGCCGGAUUCCUCUUCGGACUCCGAGCCCUCCGUGCGCCUGCCAAUCGAAUCCGAUUGGGCGUCGAUCAUGGAGUUCACUGCCGCGAACAUCUUUCAGCACUCGCCCUUCGGCGACAUCCUGAAGUCACUAAAGUCUCUCUCUUUAUCAGGAGAGCUAUGGCCGGACUACGGUCAGCAAGGAUGGGAUACGGAUGAUGAAGAAAUUCAAAACCCACCCACCACCCAUUUGGUAGCCACCGUCGAUAAUUUAAACGACGUGCUCAACUUCGACUCCGAAGACAUCGACGGCAUGGACAACGAUGCAGGAGACGCAGAUGAACCAACGCCUAUAGGGCAUUGGACAGCCACCUCAUCUCAUGAUGUGUACAUGGUGGCUACCCCUAAAGGAAGCGACAACGAGGAACACGGGGAUGGAACGAGGGAUCGAUCUCUGGAAAAACAAUCAAAGCAUCGGCGUAAACGCAGCCCCAAGCCUCGCCUCGAUUCAGACCUAGUUAUAGAGAAGGAUGAGCCGGCGGACGACGAGCAUGCCUUAGAGCAACCGUCCUAACAGGGCAACCUGGAUAAAGAAACCGAACAGCCCUCCCCCGGCGAAAAUGGCAUUCCGGACGACCUUACGCAGGAUAAGCCCACGGAGCAGAAGAACCUCCACAAGAGGCUCGUUGCAACCGCACGCAGCCUGAAAAAGCAGAAGCGAAAGCUAAAAACUGCGGAAGAUGCACUCAGGAUCAGAUGGAGUAAAGUACUCAAUACCGCAGACAAAUACGGCUGCAGUCGCCACAAUAAAAGCUAUCCGAAGCGAAAGCUACUGCCCGAAUUCGACGAAGAGGCCUUAGAACCCUCGCAUUCAAAAAAUAAGAAAGACACCCGGUCGGAUAGACGACCCCAUGGCCAGCACAAAGCGGCAAGCGGCGCCGCACUUAAGCCGGCACGCGAUCCACUUAAGGAUUCGCAUAAAAAAGAUGGCCCUGCCAGGUCCAUUUAUGGGCCAAGAAAGCAAGCUCUCGUAAGCAAUGCAAUAAAGCCAAUAUCUGAAUCCGGCACACCCAAAUACAGGGGCGCCGCACACCCCCUAUGUUUCACCAAUGAGGUCCUGGAUUAUGAAUUUCCAGCGGGAUUCAAACCCGUAAACAUAGAGGCAUAUGAUGGAACAACAGACCCUGGAGUCUGGAUCGAGGAUUAUAUCCUCCACAUACAUAUGGCUAGAGGAGAUGACCUCCACGCCAUCAAAUACUUACCCCUCAAGCUUAAAGGGCCAGCCCGGCAUUGGCUUAAAAGCCUUCCUGAAAACACAAUUGGAAGUUGGGAAGAGCUCGAGGACGCUUUCCGAGCAAAUUUUCAAGGGACCUAUGUCCGCCCUCCGGAUGCAGACGAUCUCAGUCACAUAACCCAACAGCCCGGAGAGUCAGCUCCACAGUUCUGGAAUAGAUUUCUUACUAAGAAGAAUCAGAUAGCCGACUGUCCAGACACCGAAGCCCUAGCAGCUUUCAGGCACAACGUUCGAGACGAAUGGCUCGCCAGACACCUCGGCCAAGAAAUGCCAAGAACAGUGGCCGCAUUGAGAAGCCUCAUGACCCGCUUUUGCGCAGGAGAGGACAGCUGGUUGGCAAGAUGUAGCACCAGCGACCCAAGUACAUCCGAAACUAGGGAUGGAAACGGAAAACCGCGACACAACAAGGAUCGUCGCCGGACCAAGGAAAACAAUCCGAAGAGCACGGCAGUCAACGCCGGAUUCAAAAGCUCACGGCAGAAUCAGAAAAAGCCGCCCCUCCAGGAUAACAGAGAUGAUUUAUCCAACCUAAACAAAAUAUUGGACAUGAUAUGUCAAAUACACAGUACUCCCGGGAAGCCUGCUAACCAUACCCACAGAGAUUGUUGGGUUUUCAAACAAUCCGGCAGACUCAACGCCGAACACAAGGGGCUCGACACACCAAGCGAGGACGAUGACGAAUCCCAAAAGCAGAGCACCAGGAAACAAAAGAAUUUCCCACAAGAAGUAAAAAGAGUAAACUUACUUCACAUUAGAAAACAUGCGGCACCCAUAAAGGUAUGCGCCAUACGGCCUAUCCCAAAGGAGUCUCGCCACUGGUUGUCAAAACCAAUCAUCUUCGAUCAUCUAGACUAUUCUAGAAGUAUCCGGAACGCAGGCUGGACUGCCUUGGUACUCGAUCCAAUAAUUGACGGGCUCCAGUUUACAAAUGUCUUGAUGGACGACGGCAGUGGUCUAAACCUGAUAUAUCAGGACACAAUCCGCCACAUGGGGAUAAACCCAACAAGAAUUCGCCACAGCAAAACCUCCUUUCAAGGGGUAACGCCAGGUCCGGACACCCAUUGCAUGGGUUUUCUCCGGCUCGAAGUUAUAUUCGGCUCUACCGAUUACUUCCGCCGCGAAAAGGUGACUUUCCACAUCGUCCCAUUCUCAAGUCGCUAUCAAGCACUAUUGGGACGCGAAGCUUUCGCCCACUUUAACGCAAUACCGCAUUAUGCAUCUCUUACGCUUAAGAUGCCCGGUCCACGAGGCAUCAUCUCUUUGAAGGGGAAGCAUUCAGUGCGCCUCCUCGAGCAGAGGAUUGUGCGGUCGCUUUAACAGCCCCACAAUAAAAUGGCUUCACCAGCCAAAACAUCUGAAUAGGUCGUUAAGACCACGGACACGGAUAGACGAGUCUGGCACAAAAGUAUCAUUGAUAAAGGCUUAGUGGCCAUAUACCCCUGCCCUAGGGGCUCCACACAUAUAAAAUAAGAGACAAUAAAGCUCAAUUUUACAUAUUUUACUUUAUACUUUGUUUAUUUAAUAUAACUUUUGUUCGGCACGACCUUUUUUUCAACUUAGUUCCUCUCUUUUACAGAUGAAUAUCGUGCUGCGCCCGUCCAGGAUACGGCACGACAGAGACACAGGCGCAUACGUGCAGCAGGGACCCGUUCCAAGGAUUCUUUUCAGAUUAAGACCCUGCGUAAACCUUUUUUUACUGUCUCUUGUUGAUACACAUCCCCUAGUUCUCAGUAGUAUAACCAAGGAGGAGGCUGGCGUCUUGGCAUGUGGCCACGUCAGAAUUUCUACGCGUACCUGGAAACUAGGGGCUUAUACUUAAGAGCGUUGCCUCGCCCGCUCUCAUAAAGACCGAAUACCUUAGGGAGUGUUCGGUGUCGCGAGUUUGGCCUUAUAUGCAUCAGCUCCGAAUCAUGUCUUUGGUCAAAUGUUGGGUUGCCCGGCUCCUGUGUUCGGUCGCCUUAUGUUCCGCUAUAUCGGCUAAGGCGGCACCAGGAGAACUACUGGGAUUGUGCCCCAGUUCGGCCAGGCGAGCACCUUAGUAGAGAAAGCCGAAAAAUGACUGUCAUGAUAUAGCAUGAGACUAGUCAACCACUCGAUGAAUCUUCGGAAUCUAUAGGAUUCCUCCGCAUUAACGAAGAGCCGUUUCCCAGCCAGGCACAUAUGCGCCCCGACUUCGGGCGAGCGCAGGCGCCACCAGGGGCUAUUUAAGUAGCCUCACUGUCAAGCUCCUAUGGCUAAGUGAAAGUGUUAAAGCAUUACAGUCCGGUUGCCUAGCUCGCUGCGCUAUCACCUCCUUUGUAGGACCAAGACGUUGGAUUAAGUGUGAAAAUGCGCCUUCUACGAGCACCCCCGCACUAUGUGCGUGGGGGCUGAAGCCAAUGACUGCCAUCUUUCAAAUUAUAUAUAUAUAUAUCUUAAAACGGCCGCAUAGGAGGUGUUUCAAAUACUUGAAGGCACAAGUAUAAAAGGCUACUACAAAUUAUCAAAAUACUGCUUUAUAAUUAAAUAUGCUAUUAGAACAUAGCAUCAUUUGAGCACUACGUCUCUAUUACACGAGUGCCUUCAAGGACUUCCUAAAAAUAGUGCUCGGAGGGUACUCGGCUUUUGUCCGAAUCUCGGGAUGCAACAACGGUGGACUCCAUCUCCGCCCAGUAUGUCUUGACACGGGCAAGAGCCAUCCGUGCACCCUCUAUGCAUGCUGACCUCUUCAUUGCAUUGAUCGUGGCACCGCACCAAGGAAUUGCUGCACCAAGCUGAAAUAACUCUUCGGCUCCGAUCUCCCCGGCCACAAAUGACUCAUGACGCACUUCAUGGCGAGUCCGGACAACCUAUUCAGUUUGGCCCAUUGAGCCAGACGAUCGUCCAGUGCCAGUGGACGCUCUGGAUUGUGGAACUGCGACCAGAAAAGUUUUUCCACUUCAUGAUCUUCUUGAUCUCAAAAGUGUUCGGUCGCAUCAGGAACACUCGCUGCUAAAUCCAGAUAGGUGUCCUCCACACUCCACAUCCGGUCCAACAGAGCAAGCUCCGGAUCACAAAACUUCCUCCGCACCGUAAAGGGCUUUCCAGCCGCAAUCUCUCCGGCCUGACGCAGCUCCUCCUUCGCAGCUCUCAUCGCAGAGCGAGCUCCUUGGCAUCAGCAACGGCCUUCUCUAAGUCCGUCUAUCUCGCCCAGUCUUCUUUCUCAAGAAGCUUGCAACGGUCAGCAGCGCUUUUUAACUUCACGGCCACCUCGGCCAUCUCCUUUUUGCUCCGGCAGUGAGCAGCCUAUUCGGCUCUCAGCUCUUCAAGGGCCUUCUCAGUAGCCGCAUCACUUUUUCUGGCUUGUUCCUUAGCUCAGGCAAGUUCCGCCCGAAGACUCUCCAUGGCGGCCGCACCAUCUGCGUCAAAGAACGCACAUUGUAAGAUACUGGCAUAAAGCUCCUCUUACCAGGUGCCGUCCGAGGAAUUACAUACCUUGAGCUUCAUCAAGCCGCUUGUUGACGAGCGCAAUGUCGGCAUCUGCCACGUCAAGUUGCCGCUUUAGUUCGGCAAAAUCAUCAGUUCGGCUCGAUUCCAGACACCUCGCCACCUACAUUCAAAGGCGACAUUUUAGACUUGGGAUUAUGAUCCUCUGCGCACCAUCAUUUCUGACAAUGCACAGAGUCUCCGGGGCUACUAUCUACACAGGGCGCAUCUUAUUUAUGCGCAACUGACAAAAGUGUACAUUAUCUAACGUACCUCAAAACCCGUCAGUAAACUUCUGAUGGCCACGUGCAAUCCACUUUCUGCGGACGAAAUCCUUUCAAUCACCGUGCCCAUCAAUGCACGGUGCUCCUCUGAGAUAGAAGCUCUCCCCAGCAGAUUCUUCAGCUCCUCCGGCCGAGCACCAGAUGGUGCCGGACUUGUCCUAUGGCCUCUUUCGAAGGCCGGACGCGGAGAACCUUGGGGGGCCACAUAGCUAUCUUUCGCCCCAGCUGGAUUUGGAGAAACCCUCCACGACGACACCUCAGGGUCGCCCGCCUCGCUAGGUGGUACGGCAGGGGGAGGCGUUCCGCUCUCCAUCAUCUCCGGAAGAAGGUCCCCCGAAGACGAGCUCUGCUGAGAAGGGUCGAGGUCCGAGCUACAAGGUAAAAUUUCGGUUAAUCUUCUCAGACAUAUAGCAAGGGUUUCCCCCAUCUCUCGAAAAGAAAAUCGUUCUCCACUUACGGCUCGCUGGAGGGCUGGUCCCCUUGAGGGCAUAAUUCGGCCGAGGUACCCCCCGGCGUAGGACCCUCUGNNNNNNNNNNNNNNNNNNNNNNNNNNNNNNNNNNNNNNNNNNNNNNNNNNNNNNNNNNNNNNNNNNNNNNNNNNNNNNNNNNNNNNNNNNNNNNNNNNNNNNNNNNNNNNNNNNNNNNNNNNNNNNNNNNNNNNNNNNNNNNNNNNNNNNNNNNNNNNNNNNNNNNNNNNNNNNNNNNNNNNNNNNNNNNNNNNNNNNNNNNNNNNNNNNNNNNNNNNNNNNNNNNNNNNNNNNNNNNNNNNNNNNNNNNNNNNNNNNNNNNNNNNNNNNNNNNNNNNNNNNNNNNNNNNNNUCUUCAGAGGCGGUCCUUUUCUUCCCCGGAGGAGAGGAAUUUUCGGUUCCUUCCCUCCGAACAGCCUCCUUCGAGGAGGUCGUAGCUUCCUUGUCCCCUCCCUCACUUUCCUUCAAAGGCACAAUCUUCAACAUCCUAACUAGGACGGAAUCCGGCCUGGUCUCAGGGAGGGGAGCCGGACACCUUAUCAGCUUUGCUUUCGCUAUCCACUCCUGUUUAAGGGGACAGCUCUUUUAGGGGCAAGUUUAUGACAAAUAUAUGGAUAACGAGUCCGGGCACAAGGCUACUUACUUGAGUAUCCGGGCGAUUGCAGCUCAGACCUGCGUCCUCGGUCAAGUCCGGACACAUUGCUUGUGAUCCGAAGAACAAUUUAUACAUCUCCGCGGGCGUUGCGCCCAUAAAGUGGUGGAGAGCUCGCGGUCCCUCCGAAUUAAACUCCCAUAGGCGAAGGGGGCGGCGUUUGUCGGGCAGUGUUCGGCAGAUCAGCAUGACUUGCGUCACUUUGACCAGGCUGAGACCUCUUUCUAAGAGAUCCCUAAUGCGGCCCUGCAACAGAGGCAAGUCCAGGGGUGGUCCCCAAUCUAGGCCUUUGUUGACCCACGACCCUAGCUGCUCUGGGGGACCCGAGCGAAAGGCAGGCGGCGCCACCCACUUGGUGCCCCUGGGGACGGUGAUAUAGAACCACUCUCGUUGCCAUAAGCCGAGCUCCUCUUGAAAAGGGCCCUCGGGCCAUGGAGCACCAGCAUUCUUGCUAAUAACAGUGCCUCCGCACUCUGCGUGCCGUCCCUCGAUCAUCUUCGGUUCUACCUUAAAGGUCUUGAGCCAUAAUCCGAAGUGAGGAGUAACACGGAGGAAAGCUUCACACACGAUGAUGAAUGAGGAAAUAUGGAGGAUGGACUCCGGAGCUAAGUCGUGGAAUUCCAGCCCAUAAUAGAACAUCAGCCCCCUCACGAAGGGAUCCAUUGGGAAGCCUAACCCCCGAAGGAAGUGAGACACGAACACCACGCUCUCACCAGGCUGGGGACUGGGAAUGGCCUGCCCUUGAGCAGGCAACCUGUGCGAAAUUUCGUCGGUCAAGAACUUGGCCUCUCUCAACUUUAGCACAUCCUCCUCCGUGACGGAGGAGGGCAUCCAUCGGCCUCGAAGGUCGGAACCGGACAUUGUCGAAGGUCCGAAGCGCCUGGAAUCUGGAGCCUGGGGUGUUGGAACUCGAGGCGACGGGCUAACUCGUUUGAGAUUGAAAAGGAGUAAGGCCUUGGUCUCUUAUAAGAGGUUGAAUACCAAGGGCCCUCCCCGUAUCCGUUUGGGACUCACCUUUAAUUGAGAAAACAUGCUAACGGGCACGAUUGGGUUACCCACGUCCGUAUUGAUGAGAAUCCCGUAAAUAAAGGGGACACGAUCUCUACUUUGACAAGACGUGCCAAGGAAACUGCCUCGCAAAACGCGCUGAGGUGGGGAAGUAAAAACGAUUUGAAUAAAGGCUUGGCCGUAGUGUGAUGUCACGCUACGGAAUACGUCAGCAGAUUAGAUUUGUGUUAAUAUUAUUCUCUCUAUGGCAAUAUGUCGAAACUUAUUUUACAGAGCCGGACACUACCCUUAGUGUUUACAAUCUUUUAUGAAGAACUUGGAAGAGGAACCCGCCCUGCAAUGCCGAAGACAAUCUGCGCACCGGACUCGUCUUCAUUGAAGCCUGGUUCAGGGGCUACUGAGGGAGUCCUGGAUUAGGGGGUGUCCGGGUAGCUGGACUAUACCUUUAGCCGGACUCCUGGACUAUGAAGAUACAAGAUUGAAGACUUCGUCCCGUGUCCGGAUGGGACUUUCCUUGGCGUGGAAGGCAAGCUAGGCGAUGCAGAUAUUCAGAUCUUCUACCAUUGUAACCGACUUUGUGUAACCCUAACCCUCUCCGGUGUCUAUACAAACCAGAGGGUUUUAGUCCGUAGGACAACCUCAACAUACAACAAUCAUACCAUAGGCUAGCUUCUAGGGUUUAGCCUCUUUGAUCUCGUGGUAGAUCUACUCUUGUACUACCCAUAUCAUCAAUAUUAAUCAAGCAGGACAUAGGGUUUUACCUCCAUCAAGAGGGCCCGAACCUGGGUAAAACAUUGUGUCCCUUGUCUCCUGUUACCAUCCGCCUAGACGCACAGUUCGGGACCCCCUACCCGAGAUACGCCGGUUUUGACACCGACACUUAUGUUGUUAACAAACACACAAAACUAAUUAGGGGUAGAAAUGUCCUCUCAAAUCUCAGCUUGGCCUUGAUGGUGGCACAUGGUGGCGAGAUCGAGGGCGCGGGCUCCAGGCGAUGGCGUGGGAGGCGACACCUCACAUGGUGCAGUGGGGGCGAGGGCGGCGGACUCCGGGCGGUUGCGUGGGCGGCGACACCUCACGUGAUGUAGUGGUGGCGAGGGCGGUGGAUCCAAACGGGGGGUUCUGAUAUGUCUCCAAUGUAUCUAUAAUUUUUUAUUGUUCCAUGCUAUAUUAUAUUCUGUUUUGGACAUUAUUGGGCUUUAUUAUACACUUUUAUAUUAUUUUUGGGACUAACCUAUUAACCGGAGGCCCAACCCAGAAUUGUUGUUUUUUGCCUAUUUCAGAGUUUCGCAGAAAAAUAAUAUCAAACGAAGUCCAAACGGAAUGAAACCUUCGGGAACGUGAUUUUCGAAACGAACGUGAUCCAGAGGACUUGGACCCUACGUCAAGACAUCAACCAGGAGGACACGAGGUAGGGGGCCGCGCCCUCCACCCUUGUGGGCCCCAUGUUGCUCCACCAACGUACUUCUUCCUCCUAUAUAUACCCACGUACCCCCAAACUACCAGAGACGGAGCCAAAAACCUAAUUCCACUGACGCAACCUUCUGUACCCGUGAGAUCCCAUCUUGGGGCCUUUUCCGGAGCUCCGUCGGAGGGGGCAUCGAUCACGGAGGGCUUCUACAUCAACACCAUAGCCUGUCUGAUGAUGUGUGAGCAGUUUACUUCAGACCUUCGGGUCCAUAGUUAUUAGCUAGAUGGUUUCUUCUCUCUUUUUGGAUCCCAAUACAAUGUUCUCCCCCUCUCUCGUGGAGAUCUAUUCGAUUUAAUCUUCUUUUGCGGUGUGUUUGUUGAGACCGAUGAAUUGUGGGUUUAUGAUCAAGUUUAUCUAUGAACAAUAUUUGAACCUUCUCUGAAUUCUUUUAUGUAUGAUUGGUUAUCUUUGCAAGUCUCUUCGAAUUAUCAGUUUGGUUUGGCCUACUAGAUUGAUCUUUCUUGCAAUGGGAGAAGUGCAUAGCUUUGGGUUCAAUCUUGCGGUGUCCUUUCCCAGUGACAGUAGGGGCAGCAAGGCACGUAUUGUAUUGUUGCCAUCGAGGAUAACAAGAUGGGGUUUAUAUCAUAUUGCAUGAGUUUAUCCCUCUACAUCAUGUCAUCUUGCUUAAAGCGUUACUCUGUUCUUAUGAACUUAAUACUCUAGAUGCAUGCUGGAUAGCGGUCGAUGUGUGGAGUAAUAGUAGUAGAUGCAGGAAGGAGUCGGUCUAUUUGUCUUGGACGUGAUGCCUAUAUACAUGAUCAUACCUAGAUAUUCUCAUAACUAUGCUCAAUUCUAUCAAUUGCUCAAUAGUAAUUUGUUCACCCACCGUAAUACUUAUGCUCUCGAGAGAAGCCUCUAGUGAAACCUAUGGCCCCCGGGUCUAUUUUCCAUCAUAUUUAAUCUCCCAACAACAAGCUAUUUCUGGCGCCGUUUUUAUUUUGCCUUCUUUACUUUGCAUCUUUAUCAUAAAAAUACCAAAAUUAUUAUCAUAUCAUAUCUAUCAAAUCUCACUCUUGUAAGUGACCGUGAAGGGAUUGACAACCCCUUUAUUGCGUUGGUUGCGAGGAUUUAUUUGUUUGUGUAGGUGCGAGGGACUCGUGCGUGGCCUUCUACUGGAUUGAUACCUUGGUUCUCAAAAACUGAGGGAAAUACUUACGCUACUUUGCUAUAUCACCCUUUCCUCUUCAUGGGAAAACCAACGCAGUGCUCAAGAGGUAGCAGGUUCCGGCGACGACAACGUGCGGUGGACUAUGAUUGUGUGUGUGAUGCAGUCUGGAAAUGGAAGGGAGACAGGAUGCAGUUAUAUUGCUGCCAGCGUACCCGUGGCGCACUGCCACAUAAGUGUGCCACAGGUUGAUCAUUUAGCCGUGGCGCAUAGUCAAGUUGUUCACCACUAGCGUCUGUGGGCAAUCUGGGGGCAACUUACGGGUGGUGAAUGAUAUGUCUCCAACGUAUCAAUAAUUUUUGAUUGUUCCAUGCUAUUAUAUUAUCUGUUUUGGAUGUUUAUGGGCUUUAUGAAACACUUCUAUAUUAUUUUUGGGACUAACCUAUUAACCCAGAGCCCUGUGCCAGUUCCUGUUUUUUCCCUUGUUUCAGUGUUUCAAAGAAAAGGAAUAUCAAAUGGAGUCGAAACGGAAUGAAACCUUCUGGAGAAGUUAUUUUUAGAAGGAAAGCAACCCGGGAGACUUGGAGUCCAUGUCAAGAAAGAAACGAGGGAGCCACGAGGUAGGGGGCACGCCCUCCACCCUCGUGCGCCCCUCGUGGCUCCCCUGACGUACUUCUUCCUCCUAUAUAUACCCAUAUACCCUAAAACGAUCGGGGAACAGAAGAGAUCUGGAGUUCCGCCGCCGCAAGCCUCUGUAGCCACCAAAAACCUCUCGGGACCCUAUUCCGGCACCCUGCCGGAGGGGGGAACCCUCACCGGUGGCCAUUCAUCAUCCCGGCGCUCUCCAUGACGAGGAGGGAGUAGUUCACCCUCGGGGCUGAGGGUAUGUACCAGUAGCUAUGUGUUUGAUCUCUCUCUCUCUCUCAUAUUCUUGAGGUGAUACUGUUGGGGAACGUAGCAGAAAUUCAAAAUUUUCCUACGUGUCACCAAGAUCUAUCUAUGGAGAGACCAGCAACGAGGGGAAGGAGAGUUGCAUCUACAUACCCUUGUAGAUCGCUAAGCGGAAGCGUUCAAGUGAACGGGGUUGAUGGAGUCGUACUCGUCGUGAUUCAAAUCACCGAUGAUCCUAGUGCCGAACGGACGGCACCUCCGCGUUCAACACACGUACAGCCCGGUGACGUCUCCCACGCCUUGAUCCAGCAAGGAGAGAGGGAGAGGUUGAGGAAGACUCCAUCCAGCAGCAGCACAACGGCGUGGUGGUGGUGGAGGAGCGUGGCAAUCCUGCAGGGCUUCGCCAAGCACCAUAGAAGAGGAGGAAGAAGAGACGCAGGGCUGCACCAAGAGAGAUUGAAUCGCGUGUCUUAUGGGCAGCCCUAGGCCUCAUAUAUAUAGGGGAGAGGGAGGGACUGCACCCCCUCUAGGGUUCCCACCCCUAGGGGGGGCGGCAGCCCUAGAUGGGGAUCAAAGGUGGCGGCCAAGAGGGGGAGAGGAGAGGGAGGCGCACCAAUAUGGGCCCUAAGGCCCAUAUCCUCUAGGGUUUGCCCCUUUUCCACCUCUUAGGCGCCAUGGGCCCUUAUGGGAGGCGCACCAGCCCACUAAGGGGCUGGUCCCUCACCACUCUUGGCCCAUGCAAACCUCCGGGGCAGGUGGCCCCACUUGGUGGACCCCCGGGACCCUCCCGGUGGUCCCGGUACGUUACCGAUAAACCCCGAAACUCUUCCGGUGUCCAAAACAGGACUUCCCAUAUAUAAAUCUUUACCUCCGGACCAUUCCAGAACUCCUCGUGACGUCCGGGAUCUCAUCCGGGACUCCGAACAACAUUCGGUAACCACAUACAAACUUCCUUUAUAACCCUAGCGUCAUCGAACUUUAAGUGUGUAGACCCUACGGGUUCGGGAGACAUGCAGACAUGACCGAGACGUUCUCCGGUCAAUAACCAACAGCGGGAUCUGGAUACCCAUGUUGGCUCCCACAUAUUCCACGAUGAUCUCAUCGGAUGAACCACGAUGUCAAGGACUUAAUCAAUCCCGUAUGCAAUUCCCUUUGUCUAGCGGUACGAUACUUGCCCGAGAUUCGAUCGUCGGUAUCCCGAUACCUUGUUCAAUCUCGUUACCGGCAAGUCUCUUUACUCGUUCCGUAACACAUCAUCCCGUGAUCAACUCCUUGGUCACAUUGUGCACAUUAUGAUGAUGUCCUACCGAGUGGGCCCAGAGAUACCUCUCCGUCACACGGAGUGACAAAUCCCAGUCUCGAUUCGUGCCAACCCAACAGACACUUUCGGAGAUACCCGUAGUGUACCUUUAUAGCCACCCAAUUACGUUGUGACGUUUGGCACACCCAAAGUAUUCCUACGGUAUCCGGGAGUUGCACAAUCUCAUGGUCUAAGGAAAUGAUACUUGACAUAAGAAAAGCUUUAGCAUACGAACUACACAAUCUAGUGCUAUGCUUAGGAUUGGGUCUUGUCCAUCACAUCAUUCUCCUAAUGAUGUGAUCCUGUUAUCAACGACAUCCAAUGUCCAUGGUCAGGAAACCGUAACCAUCUGUUGAUCAACGAGCUAGUCAACUAGGGCUUACUAGGGACAUGGUGUUGUCUAUGUAUCCACACAUGUAUCUGAGUUUCCUAUCAAUACAAUUAUAGCAUGGAUAAUAAACGAUUAUCAUGAACAAGGAAAUAUAAUAAUAACCAAUUUAUUAUUGCCUCUAGGGCAUAUUUCCAACAGUCUCCCACUUGCACUAGAGUCAAUAAUCUAGUUCACAUCGCCAUGUGAUUAACACUCACAGGUCACAUCGCCAUGUGACUAACACCCAAGAAUUUACUAGAGUCAGUAGUCUAGUUCACAUCACUAUGUGAUUAACACUCAAUGAGUUCUAGGUUUGAUCAUGUUGCUUGUGAGAGAGGUUUUAUUCAACGGGUCUGAACCUUUCAGAUCCGUGUGUGCUUUACAAAUCUCUAUGUCAUCUCCUAGAUGUAGCUACCACGUUCUAUUUGGAGCUAUUCCAAAUAACUAUUCUACUUGGAGCUAUUCUAAAUUGUUGCUCCAUUAUACGUAUCCGGUAUCUCUACUCAGAGCUAUCCGGAUAGGUGUUAAGCUUGCAUCGACGUAACCCUUUACGACGAACUCUUUUACCACCUCCAUAAUCGAGAAAAAUUCCUUAGUCCACUAGUUACUAAGGAUAACUUUGGCCGCUGUCCUGUGAUCCAUUCUUGGAUCACUCUUGUACCCCUUGACUGACUCAUGGCAAGGCACACUUCAGGUGCGGUACACAGCAUAGCAUACUGUAGAGCCUAUGUCUUAAGCAUUGGGGACAACCUUCAUCCUUUCUCUCUAUUCUGUCGUGGUCGAGCUUUAAGUCUUAACUUCAUACCUUACAACUCAGGCAAGAACUCCUUCUUUGACUGAUCCAUCUUGAACACCUUCAAGAUCAUGUCAAGGAAUGUGCUCAUUUGAAAGUACCAUUAAGAGUUUUGAUCUAUCCUUAUAGAUCUUGAUGCUCAAUGUUAAAAUAGCUUAAUCUAGGCUUUCCAUUGAAAAACACUUUCCAAAUAACCCUAUAUGCUUUCCAGAAAUUCUACGUCAUUUCUGAUCAACAAUAUGUCAACAACAUAUAUUCAUCAGAAAUUCUAUAGUGCUCCCACUCACUUCUUUGGAAAUACAAGUUUCUCAUAAACUUUGUAUACACCCAAAAUCUUUGAUCAUCUCAUCAAAGCAUACAUUCCAACUCCGAGAUGCUUACUCCAGUCCUUAGAAGGAUUGCUGGAGCUUUGCAUACUUAUUAGCAUCUUUCAGGAUUGACAAAACCUUCCGGUUGUAUUACAUACAACCUUUCCUCAAGAAAAAUCAUCAAGGAAACAAUGUUUUGACAUCCUAUCUGCAAGAUUUCAUAAAUAGUGCAGUAACUGCUAAUAUAAUUCCAACAGACUUUUAGCAUCGCUACAGGUGAGAAAGUCUCAUCGUAGUCAAUUCCUUGAAUUUGUCGGAAAAUCAUCUUAACGACAAGUCGAGCUUUCUUAAUGGUGAUACUUACCAUCAUUGUCCGUCUUCCUUUUAAAAUCCAUCUGUACUCAACAGCCUUACGACCAUCAAGUAGUUCUUCCAAAGUCUAUACUUUGUUUUUAUACAUGGAUCCUCUCUCAGAUUUUACGGCCUCGAGCCAUUUAUCAGAAUCCGGGCCCACCAUCGCUUCUCCAUAGCUUGUAGGCUCAUUGUUGUCUAGCAACAUGACUUUCAAGACAGGAUUACGUACCACUCUGAAGUAGUACGCAUCCUUGUCAUCCUACGUGGUUUGGGAGUGACAUGAUCCGAAGUCUCGUGAUCAAUAUCAUAAGCUUCCACUUCAAUUGGUGUGGGUGCCACAGGAACAAUUUCCUGUGCCCUGCCACACACUAGUUGAAGGGACGGUUCAAUAACCUCAUCAAGUUUCCACCAUCCUCCCACUCAAUUCUUUCGAGAGAAACUUUUCCUCGAGAAAGGUCCUGAUUCAAGAAACAAUCAUUUAUUGCCUUCGAAUCUGAGACAGGAGCUAUACCCAACUGUUUUGGGUGUCCUAUGAAGAUGCAUUUAUCCGCUUUGGGUUCGAGCUUAUCAGCCUGAAACUUUUUCACAUAAGCGUCGCAGCCCCAAACUUUUUAAGAAAUGACAGCUUAGGUUUCUCUAAACCAUAGUUCAUACGGUGUCGUCUCAACGGAAUUACGUGGUGCCCUAUUUAAAGUGAAUGUGGUUGUCUCUAAUGCCUAACCCUUAAACUAUUGUGGUAAUUCGAUAAGAGACAUCAUGGUAUGCAUCAUAUCCAAUGAUGUUCGGACACACCAUCACACUAUGGUGUUCCAGGCUGUGAAACAAUUUCCACAAUGUCUUAAUUCUGUGCCAAACUCGUAAUUCAGAUAUUCAUCUCUAUAAUCAUAUCAUAGAUCUUUUAUCCUCUUGUCACGAUGAUCUUUCAACUUCACGCUGAAAUUACUUGAACCUUUCAAUAAUUCAGACUCGUGAUUCAUCAAGUAAACAUCUACUCAAAUCAUCUGUGAAGUAAGAACAUAACGAUAUCCACUACAUGCCUCAACACUCAUUGGACUGCACAUAUCAAAAUGUAUUACUUCCAACAAGUUGCUUUCUAGUUCCAUUUUACUGAAAACGAGGCUUUCAGUCAUCUUGCCCAUGUGGUAUGAUUUGCAUGUCUCAACUGAUUCAAAAUCAAGUGAGUCCAAAUGGUCCAUUUGCAUGGAGUUUCUUCAUGCAUAUACACCAAUAGACAUGGUUCGCAUGUCUCAAACUUUUCAAAAAUGAGUGAGCCCAAAGAUCCAUCAACAUGGAGCUUCCUCAUGCGUUUUAUACCGAUAUGACUUACGUGGCAGUGCCACAAGUAGGUGGUACUAUCAUUACUAUCUUUUGGCAUGAACAUGUGUAUCACUACGAUCGAGAUUCAAUAAACCAUUCAUUUUAGGUGUAAGACCAUUGAAGGUAUUAUUCAAAUAAACAGAGUAACCAUUAUUCUCCUUAAAAGAAUAACCGUAUUGCGAUAGACAUAAUCCAAUCAUGUCUAUGCUCAACGCAAACACCAAUCUCGAUGGUAGAGGGAGCGUGCGAUACUUGAUCACAUCAAGCUUGGAAACACUUCCAACACAUAUCGUCAUCUCACCUUUAGCUAGUCUCCGUUUGUUCCAUAGCUUUUAUUUCGAGUUACUAACACUUAGUAACCGAACCGGUAUCUAAUACCCUGGUGCUACUAGGAGUACUAGUAAAGUACACAUUAACAUAAUGUAUAUCCAAUAUACUUCUAUCGACCUUGCCAGCCUUCUUAUCUACCAAGUAUCUAGGGUAAUUCUGCUCCAGUGGCUGUUCCUCUUAUUACAGAAGCACUUAGUCUCGGGUUUGGGUUCAAACUUGGGUUUCUUCACUAGAGCAGCAGCUGAAUUGCCGUUUCAUGAAGCAUCCCUUCUUGCCCUUGCCCUUCUUGAAACUAGUGGUUUCACCAACCAUCAACAAUUGAUGCUCCUUCUUGAUUUCUACUUCGUGGUGCCAAACAUCGCGAAUAUCUCAAGGAUCAUCAUAUAUGUCCCUAAUACAUCAUAGUUCAUCACGAAGCUCUAGUAGCUUGGUGGUAAUGACUUUGGAGAAAACAUCACUAUCUCAUCUGGAAGAUCAACUCCCACUCGAUUCAAAUGAUUGUUGUACUCAGACAAUCUGAGCACAAGCUCAACAAAUGAGCUUUUCUCCUUAGUUGGUAGGUUAAGAAAAUCGUCGGAGGUCUUAUACCUCUUGACGUGGGCACGAGCCUGAAAUCCCAAUUUCAGCCCUCGAAACAUCUCAUAUGUUUCGCGACGUUUCAAAACCGUCUUCGGUGCCUCAACUCUAAACCGUUUAACUGAACUAUCACGUAGUUAUCAAAAUGUGUAUGUCAGAUGUUCGCAACAUCCACAGACGACGUUCGAGGUUCAGCACACUGAGCGGUGCAUUAAGGACAUAAGCCUUCUGCUGUCUGCAUAAUUGCUACUAUCAACUUUCAACUAAUUUUUUCUCUAGGAACAUAUCUAAACAGUAGAACUAAAGCGCGAGCUACGACAUAAUUUGCAAAAUCCUUUUGACUAUGUUCAGGAUAAUUAAGUUCAUCUUAUGAACUCCCACUCAGAUAGACAUCCCUCUAGUCAUCUAAGUGAUUACAUGAUCCGAGUCAACUAGCCCGUGUCCGAUCAUCACGUGAGACGGACUAGUCAACGUCGGUGAACAUCUUCAUGUUGAUCGUAUCUUCUAUACGACUCAUGCUCGACCUUUCGGCUUUCUGUGUUCCGAGGCCAUGUCUGUACAUGCUAGGCUCGUCAAGUUAACCCUAAGUGUUUUGCGUGUGUAAAUCUGUCUUACACCCGUUGUAUGUGAACGUUAGAAUCUAACACCCGAUCAUCACGUGGUGCUUCGAAACACGAACUGUCGCAACGGUGCACAGUUAGGGGAGAACACUUCUUGAAAUUGUUGUAAGGGAUCAUCUUAUUUACUACCGUCGUUCUAAGCAAAUAAGAUGUAUAAACAUGAUAAACAUCACAUGCAAUCAAAUAGUGACAUGAUAUGGCCAUCAUCACUUUGCUCCUUUUGAUCUCCAUCUUCGGGGCUCCAUGAUCAUCAUCGUCACCGGCAUGACACCAUGAUCUCCAUCAUCAUGAUCUCCAUCAUCGUGUCUUCAUGAAGUUGCCUCGCCAACUAUUACUUCUACUACUAUGGCUAAUGGUUAGCAAUAAAGUAAAGUAAUUACAUGACGUUUAAGUUGACACGCAGGUCAUAAAUAAAUAAAGACAACUCCUAUGGCUCCUGCCGGUUGUCAUACUCAUCGACAUGCAAGUCGUGAUUCCUAUUACAAGAACAUGAUCAAUCUCAUACAUCACAUAUAUCAUUCAUCACAUCCUUUGGCCAUAUCACAUCACAUAGCUGUUGGUGAACGUUGCAGAAAACAAAAAAUUUCCUACUCGUUUCACCAAGAUCAUCUAGGAGUUCAUCUAGCAACGAGUCACGAGAUGCAUCUACAUACCUUUGUAGAUCGCGUGCGGAAGCGUUCAACGAACGGGGAUGAUGUAGUCGUACACAACGUGAACCAAAUCACCGAUGACCAGCGCCGAACGGACGGCACCUCCGCGUUCAACACACGUACAGGACGGGAGACGUCUCCUCCUUCUUGAUCCAGCAAGGGGGAAGGAGAGGUUGACGAAGAUCCAGCAGCACGACGGCGUGGUGGUGGAUGCAGGGCAUCGCAGUAGCAGGGCUUCGCCUAUACUACGAGGAAGAGAGACGUAACGGGAAGAGAGGGAGGCGCCAGGGGCUGGUCUGUCAAGUCCCUCCUCUCCCCCACUAUAUAUAGGGGUGCCAUGGGGGGGGCGCCGGCCCUAGUAGAUGGAAUCUACUAGGGGGGCGGCGGCCUAGGGUGGGGCUUGCUCCCCAAGGCAAGGGGGGCGCCCCCUCUAGGGUUUCCCCUUAGCCCUAGCCGCAUGGGCCCCCUAGGGGCUGGCGCCCCAGCCCACUAUGGGCUGGGUUCCCUCCUAUUUCAGCCCAUGGGGCCCUCCGGGAUAGGUGGCCCCACCCGGUGGACCCCCGGGACCCUUCCGGUGGUCCCGGUACAAUACCGGGUACCCCGAAACUUGUCCCGAUGGCCGAAACUGCACAUCCUAUAUAUAAUUCUUUACCUCCGGACCAUUCCGGAACUCCUCGUGACGUCCUGGAUCUCAUCCGGGACCCCGAACAACAUUCGGGUUACUGCAUAUACUUAUCUUCACAACCCUAGCGUCACCGAACCUUAAGUGUGUAGACCCUACGGGUUCGGGAGACAAGCAGACAUGACCGAGAGGACUCUCCAGUCAAUAACCAACAGCGGGAUCUGGAUACCCAUGUUGGCUCCCACAUGCUCCAUGAUGAUCUCAUCGGAUGAACCACGAUGUCGAGGAUUCAAUCAACCCCGUAUACAAUUCCCUUUGUCAAUCGAUAUAUUACUUGCCCAAGAUUCGAUCGUCGGUAUCCCAAUACCUCGUUCAAUCUCGUUACCGGCAAGUCACUUUACUCGUACCGUAAUGCAUGAUCCCGUGACCAGACACUUGGUCACUUUGAGCUCAUUAUGAUGAUGCAUUACCGAGUGGGCCCAGUGAUACCUCUCCGUCAUACGGAGUGACAAAUCCCAGUCUUGAUCCGUGUCAACCCAACAGACACUUUCGGAGAUACCCGUAGUAUACCUUUAUAGUCACCCAGUUACGUUGUGACGUUUGGUACACCCAAAGCACUCCUACGGUAUCCGGGAGUUACACGAUCUCAUGGUCUAAGGAAAAGACACUUGACAUUGCAAAACUCUAGCAAACGAACUAUACGAUCUUUAUGCUAUGUUUAGGAUUGGGUCUUGUCCAUCACAUCAUUCUCCUAAUGAUGUGAUCUCAUUAUCAAUGACAUCUUAUGUCCAUAGCCAGGAAACCAUGACUAUCUGUUGAUUAACGAGCUAGUCAACUAGAGGCUUACUAGGGACAUGUUGGUGUCUGUUAUUCACACCUGUAUUACGAUUUCCGGAUAACACAAUUAUAGCAUGAAUAAAGACAAUUACCAUGAACAAGGAAAUAUAAUAAUAAUGUUUUUAUUAUUGCCUCUAGGGCAUAUUUCCAACAGUCUCCCACUUGCACUAGAGUCAAUAAUCUAGUUACAUUGUGAUGAAUCGAACACCCAUGGAAUUCUGGUGUUGAUCAUGUUUUGCCCUAGGGAGAGGUUUAGUCAAUGGAUCUGCUACAUUCAGGUCCGUAUGUACUUUACAAAUAUCUAUGUCUCCAUCCUGAACAUUUUCACGAAUGGAGUUGAAGCGACGCUUGAUAUGCCUUGUCUUCUUGUGAAACCUGGGCUCCUUGGCAAGUGCAAUAGCUCCAGUGUUGUCACAAAAGAGCUUGAUCGGCCCCGACGCAUUGGGUAUGACUCCGAGGUCGGUGAUGAACUCCUUCACCCAGAUUGCUUCAUGUGCUGCCUCCGAGGCUGCCAUGUACUCCGCUUCACAUGUAGAUCCCGCCACGACGCUCUGCUUGCAACUGCACCAGCUUACUGCCCCACCAUUCAAAAUAUACAUGUAUCUGGUUUGUGACUUUGAGUCAUCCAGAUCUGUGUCGAAGCUAGUGUCGACGUAACCCUUUACGACGAGCUCUUCGUCACCUCCAUAAACGAGAAACAUCUCCUUAGUCCUUUUCAGGUACUUCAGGAUAUUCUUGACCGCUGUCCAGUGUUCCUUGCUGGGAUUACUUUGGUACCUUCCUACCAAACUUACGGCAAGGUUUACAUCAGGUCUGGUACACAGCAUGGCAUACAUAAUAGAACCUAUGGCUGAGGCAUAGGGGAUGACACUCAUCUCUUCUAUUUCUUCUGCCGUGGUCGGACUUUGAGCCGAGCUCAAUUUCAUACCUUGUAACACAGGCAAGAACCCCUUCUUAGAUUGAUCCAUAUUGAACUUCUUCAAUAUCUUAUCAAGGUAUGUGCUUUGUGAAAGACCUAUGAGGCGUCUCGAUCUGUCUCUAUAGAUCUUGAUGCCUAAUAUAUAAGCAGCUUCCCCAAGGUCCUUCAUUGAAAAACUCUUAUUCAAGUAGGCCUUGAUGCUGUCCAAAAGUUCUAUAUCAUUUCCCAUCAAAAGUAUGUCAUCUACAUAUAAUAUGAGAAAUGCUACAGAGCUCCCACUCACUUUCUUGUAAACACAGGCUUCUCCAUAAGUCUGCGUAAACCCAAACGCUUUGAUCAUCUCAUCAAAGCGAAUGUUCCAACUCCGAGAUGCUUGCACUAGCCCAUAAAUUGAGCGUUGGAGCUUGCACACUUUGUCAGCAUUCUUAGGAUCGACAAAACCUUCCGGCUGCAUCAUAUACAAUUCUUCCUUAAGGAAACCAUUAAGGAAUGCCGUUUUGACGUCCAUUUGCCAUAUUUCAUAAUCGUAAAACACGGCAAUUGCUAACAUGAUUCGGACAGACUUCAGCUUCGCCACCGGUGAGAAAGUCUCAUCGUAGUCAACCCCUUGAACUUGUCGAUAACCUUUAGCGACAAGCCGAGCUUUAUAGAUGGUCACAUUACCAUCCGCGUCUGUCUUCUUCUUAAAGAUCCAUUUAUUCUCUAUGGCUCGCCAUUCAAUGGGCAAGUCAGUCAAAGUCCAUACUUCGUUUUCAUACAUGGAUCCUAUCUCGGAUUUCAUGGCUUCUAGCCAUUUGUCGGAAUCCGGGCCCGCCAUCGCUUCUUCAUAGUUCGAAGGUUCACCGUUGUCUAACAACAUGAUUUCCAAGACAGGGUUGACGUACCACUCUGGUGCGGAACGUGUCCUUGUGGACCUUCGAAUUUCAGUAGUAACUUGAUCAGAAGUUUCAUGAUCAUCAUCAUUAACUUCCUCUCCAGUCGGUGUAGGCACCUCAGGAACAUUUUCUUGAGUUGCGCCAUUUUCCGGUUCAAGAGGUAAUACUUCAUCAAGUUCUAUUUUCCUCCCACUUACUUCUUUCGAGAGAAACUCUUUCUCUAGAAAGGAUCCAUUCUUGGCAACAAAGAUCUUGCCUUCGGAUCUGAGGUAGAAGGUAUACCCAAUAGUUUCUUUUGGGUAUCCUAUGAAGACGCAUUUUUCCGACUUGGGUUCGAGCUUUUCAGGUUGAAGUUUCUUGACAUAAGCAUCGCAUCCCCAAACUUUCAGAAACGACAACUUAGGUUUCUUUCCAAACCAUAAUUCAAACGGUGUCGUCUCAACGGAUUUUGACGGAGCCCUAUUUAAAGUGAAUGCAGCAGUCUCUAAAGCAUAGCCCCAAAAAGAUAGUGGUAAAUCGGCAAGAGACAUCAUAGACCGCACCAUAUCUAAUAGAGUGCGAUUACGACGUUCGGACACACCGUUACGCUGAGGUGUUCCAGGUGGUGUGAGCUGUGAAACUAUUCCACAUUUUCUUAAGUGUGUGCCAAAUUCGUGACUCAAGUAUUCUCCUCCACGAUCUGAUCGUAGAAACUUGAUUUUCCUGUCACGUUGAUUCUCAACCUCACUCUGAAAUUCCUUGAACUUUUCAAAGGUUUCAGACUUGUGUUUCAUUAAGUAAAUAUAUCCAUAUCUACUCAAAUCAUCAAUGAGAGUGAGAACAUAACGAUAGCCGCCGCGAGCCUCAACACUCAUUGGACCGCACACAUCAGUAUGUAUGAUUUCCAAUAAGUUGGUUGCUCGCUCCAUUGUUCCUGAGAACGGAGUCUUGGUCAUUUUACCCAUAAGGCAUGGUUCGCACGUGUCAAAUGAUUCAUAAUCAAGAGACUCUAAAAGUCCAUCUGCAUGGAGCUUCUUCAUGCGUUUGACACCUAUGUGACCAAGGCGGCAGUGCCACAAGUAUGUGGGACUAUCAUUAUCAACCUUACAUCUUUUGGUACUCACACUAUGAACAUGUGUAGCAUUAUGUUCGAGAUUCAUAAAGAAUAAACCAUUCACCAUAGGAGCAUGACCAUAAAACAUAUCUCUCAUAUAAAUAGAACAACCAUUAUUCUCGGAUUUAAAUGAGUAGCCAUCUCGAAUUAAACGAGAUCCCGAUACAAUGUUCAUGCUCAAAGCUGGUACUAAAUAACAAUUAUUGAGGUUUAAAACUAAUCCCGUAGGUAAAUGAAGAGGCAGCGUGCCGACGGCGAUCACAUCGACUUUGGAACCAUUCCCGACGCGCAUCGUCACCUCGUCCUUUGCCAGUCUUCGCCUAUUCCGUAGUUCCUGCUGUGAUUUACAAAUGUGAGCAACUGCACCGGUAUCAAAUACCCAAGAGCUACUACGAUUACUGGUAAGGUACACAUCAAUUACAUGUAUAUCACAUAUACCUUUUGUUUUGCCGGCCUUCUUGUCUGCUAAGUACUUGGGGCAAUUCCGCUUCCAGUGACCGCUUCCCUUGCAAUAAAAACACUCAGUCUCGGGCUUGGGUCCAUUCUUUGGCUUCUUCCCGGCAGCUUGCUUGCCGGGCGCGGCAACCUCCUUGCCAUCCUUCUUGAAGGCUUUCUUACCCUUGCCCUUCUUGAACUUAGUGGUUUUAUUGACCAUCUACACUUGAUGUUCCUUCUUGACUUCUACCUCUGCUGAUUUCAGCAUAGCAAAUACUUCAGGAAUGUUCUUUUCCAUCCCCUGCAUAUUGAAGUUCAUCACAAAGCUCUUGUAGCUCGGUGGAAGCGACUGGAGGAUUCUGUCAAUGACCGCAUCAUCCGGGAGAUUAACUCCCAGCUGAGUCAAGCGGUUAUGUAAUCCAGACAUCGUGAGUAUGUGCUCACUGACAGAACUAUUUUCCUCCAUCUUACAGCUGAAGAACUUGUCGGAGACCUCAUAUCUCUCGACCCGGGCAUGAGCUUGGAAAACCAUUUUCAGCUCUUCGAACAUCUCAUAUGCUCCAUGUCUCUCAAAACGCUUUUGGAGCCCCGGUUCUAAACUGUAAAGCAUGCCGCACUGAACGAGGGAGUAGUCAUCGGUACGUGCCUGCCAAGCGUUCAUAACGUCUUGUUCAGCAGGGAGGACAGGUGCGUCACCCAGCGGUGCUUGUAGGACAUAAUCUUUCUUGGCAGCUAUGAGGAUGAUCCUCAGGUUCCGGACCCAGUCCGUAUAGUUGCUGCCAUCGUCUUUCAGCUUGGUUUUGAAGUUGAGGACUACGUGGGCCAUUUGAUCUACAAGACAUAUUGUAAAAUAUUUUAGACUAAUGUUCAUGAUAAUAAAGUUCAUCCAAUCAAAUUAUAAUGAACUCCCACUUAGAUUAGACAUCCCUCUAGUCAUCUAAGUAUUACAUGAUCCUAGUUAACUAGGCCGUGUCCGAUCAUCACGUGAGACGGACUAGUCAACGUCGGUGAACAUCUUCAUGUUGAUCGCAUCUUCUAUACGACUCAUGCUCGACCUUUCGGUCUUCUGUGUUCCGAGGCCAUGUCUAUGCACAUGCUAGGCUCGUCAAGUUAACCCUAAGUGUUUUGCAUGUGUAGAAUUGUCUUACACCCGUUGUAUGUGAACGUAAGAAUCUAUCACACCCGAUCAUCACGUGGUGCUUCGAAACGACGAACUUUAGCAACGGUGCACAGUUAGGGGAGAACACUUCUUGAAAUUGUUAUGAGGGAUCAUCUUAUUUACUACCGCCGUUCUAAGUAAACAAGAUGCAAAACAUGAUAAACAUCACAUGCAAUCAAAUAAUAAACGUGACAUGAUAUGGCCAUUAUCACAUAGCUCCUUUGAUCUCCAUCUUGGGGCUCCAUGAUCGUCUUCUCACCGGCUUGACACCAUGAUCUCCAUCAUCAUGAUCUCCAUCAUCGUGUCUCCAUGAAGUUGCUCGCCAAUUAUUACUUCUACUACUAUGGCUAACGCGUUUAGCAAUGAAGCAAAGUAAUUUACAUGGCGUUUCUCAAUGACACGCAGGUCAUAUAAAAGAAUAAAGACAACUCCUAUGGCUCCUGCCGGUUGUCAUACUCAUCGACAUGCAAGUCGUGAUUCCUAUUACAAUAGCAUGAACAUCUCAUACAUCACAUACAGAUCAUUCAUCAUUCAUCACAACUUUGGCCAUAUCAUAUCACAAACCACUUGCUGCAAAAACAAGUUAGACGUCCUCUAAUUGUUGUUGCAAGUUUUUACGUGGCUGAAUUAGGGUUCUAGCAAGAACGUUUUCUUACUUACGUGAAAACCACAACGUGAUUUGUCAACUUCUAUUUACCCUUCAUAAGGACCCUGUUCAUCGAAUCCGCUCCAACUAAAGUAGGAGAGACAGACACCCGCCAGCCACCUUAUGCAACUAGUGCAUGUUAGUCGGUGGAACCGGUCUCACGUAAGCGUACGUGUAAGGUUGGUCCGGGCCGCUUCAUCCCACAAUACCGCUGAAGCAAGAAAAGACUAGUAGCGGCAAGAAAGUUGACAAAUCCACGCCCACAACAUAUUGUGUUCUACUCGCGCAAGAAGAACUACGCAUAGACCUAGCUCAUGAUGCCACUGUUGGUGAACGUUGCAGAAAACAAAAAUUUUCCUACUCGUUUCACCAAGAUCAUCUAGGAGUUCAUCUAGCAACGAGUCACGAGAUGCAUCUACAUACCUUUGUAGAUCGCGUGCGGAAGCGUUCAACGAACGGGGAUGAUGUAGUCGUACACAACGUGAUCCAAAUCACCGAUGACCAGCGCCGAAUGGACGGCACCUCCGCGUUCAACACACGUACGGG